GAUGAACGCUGGCGGCGUGCCUAAUACAUGCAAGUCGAGCGAACGGACGAGAAGCUUGCUUCUCUGAUGUUAGCGGCGGACGGGUGAGUAACACGUGGAUAACCUACCUAUAAGACUGGGAUAACUUCGGGAAACCGGAGCUAAUACCGGAUAAUAUUUUGAACCGCAUGGUUCAAAAGUGAAAGACGGUCUUGCUGUCACUUAUAGAUGGAUCCGCGCUGCAUUAGCUAGUUGGUAAGGUAACGGCUUACCAAGGCAACGAUGCAUAGCCGACCUGAGAGGGUGAUCGGCAACACUGGAACUGAGACACGGUCCAGACUCCUACGGGAGGCAGCAGUAGGGAAUCUUCCGCAAUGGGCGAAAGCCUGACGGAGAAACGCCGCGUGAGUGAUGAAGGUCUUCGGAUCGUAAAACUCUGUUAUUAGGGAAGAACAUAUGUGUAAGUAACUGUGCACAUCUUGACGGUACCUAAUCAGAAAGCCACGGCUAACUACGUG
rnacentral:rRNA from 1 species